UUUUCUUCACGGAUGAACACAUGUUUGAUAAAACGGAGUUAAAUCUCUCAGCAUCCAUUUUCAAGCUCUCUGUGUGUUUGUUUCCUUGCGGACGAGAAAAGGGGGAGCGCACGUUUCCGAGAAGGCGUGUCUUUUUCAAAAAUCCAAGAGGCGUUGCUUUGUUGCCGGCCGUUUUCGCCGGUGUGUUAAACACACUUUAGAAAGGAGUGUCCCCAAACUAUCAGAAGGCGGAGAUCUCCGAUUGUCUGGUGGCGAGACUAGUUUUCCAGUAACAACAUGGCUAACUUAAGCUGCUAGCUUAAAAGAGAAAACGGUGCUUUGUGUCCUGUGUGUUUUAUUCGGAGGAGAAGUCAUGGCAUUUGAUCAAGAAGAGACUUUCAGGAUCUUAAACAACUUUCUGAGAGGAUUAUCAGACAUGAGGGCAGCAUGACAAAGUGGCAGAAUGGUGCUAAAACAUAGCUAGCUGAGGUGACAGCUCACACAAACGGAGUGAGGGAGUAACAGCACCUUUUAAGGAGACCAGGCAAACAAAAGAAGACAAAAAAACUCUGCACUGACCGAGCUGUCCCCACCUGUCCCAGCCUGAUCCACUCUGGCACCUUUCUAUCUUCUGUCCUUGGGGCCCAACCACAGACCAGUCUCAUCCACACUGACAGACUGUGAAGAGCGACUUGUCUCCAUCAGCUGGGAACCUCCGCCGGUGUCUUUGUGUGUGCGUCUGUCAGCGGAGGAGGAGGGUUUCAGGCAUCAUCUCUCAGGCAUCCUCUUACUGGGCUCACUGGACUAAAGCCUGGGAAACAGACCAACGAUGACCAUUCUCAUCAAGCAAAUGGAUCCAGGUACUCUGAAACUGAAAUCAGAGCCCUGCUUCACAGCGUGGUGUCCAGUACUUUUAGACAAAAGCUCAGAGAGAAAAAGUCUGUCCGAAAAUGUUUCCACUAUGCACAGUUUUACAUUUAUUCUUCACUGAUGAGAGAAAAACCCUGAAAUGAGGUGAA